rnacentral:tRNA from 1 species
GGUGGCUCAUGGUAGAGCUCUUGCCUUGCAUGCAUGAGGCCCUGGGUUCGAUUCCUCAGCACCA